AGUGAACGCUGGCGGUAGGCCUAACACAUGCAAGUCGAACGGCAGCACAGUAAGAGCUUGCUCUUACGGGUGGCGAGUGGCGGACGGGUGAGGAAUACAUCGGAAUCUACUUUUUCGUGGGGGAUAACGUAGGGAAACUUACGCUACUACCGCAUACGACCUACGGGUGAAAGCAGGGGAUCUUCGGACCUUGCGCGAUUGAAUGAGCCGAUGUCGGAUUAGCUAGUUGGCGGGGUAAAGGCCCACCAAGGCGACGAUCCGUAGCUGGUCUGAGAGGAUGAUCAGCCACACUGGAACUGAGACACGGUCCAGACUCCUACGGGAGGCAGCAGUGGGGAAUAUUGGACAAUGGGCGCAAGCCUGAUCCAGCCAUACCGCGUGAGUGAAGAAGGCCUUCGGGUUGUAAAGCCCUUUUGUUGGGAAAGAAAAGCAGCAGAUUAAUACCCCGCUGUUCUGACGGUACCCAAAGAAUAAGCACCGGCUAACUUCGUG
rnacentral:rRNA from 1 species